AUGGGAGGCAGGCGGCCGGGAAAAGCUCCUGGAGGCGGCGAGAGCGAGCUCGGCGUCGGGGACCAGAGGGCUCCGUGCAGGCCAGGGGCUUUGCUCAGGAAGAUUCGGAGGUUCAGCGCCAGGAUCCCAACGGAGUCCCCGUCCCCCCAGCAAGUACCGGGUCUGCAACAAAGUGGCAAAGAGAAAACCCAAGUUCCCGCUGCUGGCGGCCCGGGGGUCGGGACAGGAUGGGGGAGACGGGGCGGGGGAGCCCGCGGUGGUGGGCAGGCCCGGGGAGCAGUGCUCAGGGUCCUGCCCAGGCCUGGCCGGCGCGCACCUGUCCGCGUCCAUGCAUGCACCUGGCCGUGUCGCAGCCACACACCUGGCCAUGUCCAUGGACACACCUGGCCGCGUCCACGCACACACCUGGCCGUGUUGCAGCCACACACCUGGCCGUGUCCACGCAUGCACCUGGCUGUGUCGCAGCCAUGCACCUGGCCAUGUCCACGCAUGCACCUGGCCGCGUUCACACAUGCACCUGGCCGUGUCACAGCCACGCACACCUACCGCGUGUCGCAGCCACGAAUGCACCUGGCCCUGUCCACGCACACCUACUGCAUGUCCAGCCACACACACACCGUUGCAGCCAUGCACACCUACCGCAAGUCACAACCACACACACACCUACCAUGUGUCACAGCCACACACACACCUACCACGUGUCCAGCCACGCACAGACCUGGCCAUGUUGCAGUGAUACACAUACAUCUACCACGUGUCACAGGCGCGCACACACACACACACCGGGCCCAUGUCACAGGGACAUGCAUACACCUACCGUGUGUCACAGGCACACACACACCUGGGCCAUGUGAUAGUGAUACACCUACUGUGUGUCACAGCCACGCACACACCUGGCCCAUGUCACAGGGAUACACACACCUACCAUGUGUCACAGCCACACACACACCUGGCCCAUGUCACAGUGAUACACAUACACCUACUGUGUGUCACAGGCACACACACACACCUGGUCCCCCCCCCACACACACAUAUAUUUAUAUAAAUAAAAAGAUUUAUUUUAAGCAAUUGGUUUAUGUAAUUGUGGGGGGCUGGCAACUGAAAUCUGUAGGGCAGGCCAGCAGGCUAGAAAUUCAGGUCAGAAUGGUGUCACCUUGA
rnacentral:lncRNA from 12 species